GGAAUUUAUGCCCUCUGGUAUCCUGGCUGUGGCCGACCCAUUUUCUCCAAUCCCCGAUUCCCCAUCUUGAUUUUGGAGUGGCUUUCCGCUUGUGGCCAUCUCCCAUGAUCCCAUUCCCAUCUCCCGACUCCCCGAUUCACAAAUCUAGAUACCUGGGUGAUUUGAGUGAAGGAGAACUAGAAGAGAUCAAGGAGCCUGACGAUUGACGAGCUUGAAUGCCUAAAGGAUUCUUUGCACCACUGCAUCGGCCCUGAUUUGUCCAAAAAUCCAGCGGCAGACCAGCAGUAACCCCCAGGCGGCGCCGCCCACCCCACACAGCCAUGCUAGAACUGAGAUCUCAGAUCUCCCGAUCCCCCUGCAGCAGGGCACCCGCCACCCAGUCUUCUUGUUCUACAUUUUAUGUUUUUUUAUUUAAAUAUUAAUAAAUAAAAUGGAGGAGAAGGAGUGCUGUUCUGAGAUCUCAGAUCUCCCGAUCCCCCUGCGGCAGGGCACCCGCCACCCAGUUGUCUUGUUCUACAUUUUUUUUAUUUAAAUAUUAAUAAAUAAAAUAAAGAGGAGUGCUGUUAUUAUUA